CAAUAUAAGUGAUGGCGACCGGCGCACGGGUGAGUAACACGUAUCCAACCUGCCGAUAACUCGGGGAUAGCCUUUCGAAAGAAAGAUUAAUACCCGAUGGUAUAAUAAAACCGCAUGGUUUAAUUAUUAAAGAAUUUCGGUUAUCGAUGGGGAUGCGUUCCAUUAGGCAGUUGGUGAGGUAACGGCUCACCAAACCUUCGAUGGAUAGGGGUUCUGAGAGGAAGGUCCCCCACAUUGGAACUGGGACACGGUCCAA
rnacentral:rRNA from 1 species